rnacentral:rRNA from 1 species
CCUACGGGAGGCAGCAGUGGGGAAUAUUGCACAAUGGGCGAAAGCCUGAUGCAGCAACGCCGCGUAAUCGAUGAAGGCCUUCGGGUCGUAAAGCUCUGUCCUCGAGGAAGAUAAUGACGGUACUUGAGGAGGAAGCCCCGGCAAACUACGUGCCAGCAGCCGCGGGAAUACGUGGGGGGCUAGGGUUAUCCGGAAUUACUGGGCGUAAAGGGGGCGUAGGUGGUUUCUUAAGUCAGAGGUGAAAGGCUACGGCUCAACCGUAGUAAGCCUUUGAAACUGGGGAACUUGAGUGCAGGAGAGGCGAGUGGAAUUCCUAGUGUAGCGGUGAAAUGCGUAGAUAUUAGGAGGAACACCAGUUGCGAAGGCGGCUCUCUGGACUGUAACUGACACUGAGGCACGAAAGCGUGGGGAGCAAACAGGAUUAGAUACCCGUGUAGUC